AGUGAACGCUGGCGGUAGGCCUAACACAUGCAAGUCGAACGGCAGCACAGUAAGAGCUUGCUCUUACGGGUGGCGAGUGGCGGACGGGUGAGGAAUACAUCGGAAUCUACUUUUUCGUGGGGGAUAACGUAGGGAAACUUACGCUAAUACCGCAUACGACCUACGGGUGAAAGCAGGGGAUCUUCGGACCUUGCGCGAUUGAAUGAGCCGAUGUCGGAUUAGCUAGUUGGCGGGGUAAAGGCCAACCAAGGCGACGAUCCGUAGCUGGUCUGAGAGGAUGAUAAGCCACACGGGAACUGAGACACGGUCCAGACUCCUACGGGAGGCAGCAGUGGGGAAUAUUGGACAAUGGGCGCAAGCCUGAUCCAGCCAUACCGCGUGGGUGAAGAAGGCCUUCGGGUUGUAAAGCCCUUUUGUUGGGAAAGAAAAGCAGCAGGUUAAUACCCCGCUGUUCUGACGGUACCCAAAGAAUAAGCACCGGCUAACUUCGUG
rnacentral:rRNA from 1 species